GACGAACGCUGGCGGCGUGCUUAACACAUGCAAGUCGAACGGAAAGGCCCUUCUUUUGUGGGGUGCUCGAGUGGCGAACGGGUGAUUAACACGUAAGUAACCUGCCCUUGACUUUGGGAUAACUUCAGGUAACUUGGGCUAAUACCGGAUAGGAGCUCCUGCUGCAUGGUGGGGGUUGGAAAGUUUCGGCGGUUGGGGAUGGACUCGCGGCUUAUCAGCUUGUUGGUGGGGUAGUGGCUUACCAAGGCUUUGACGGAUAGCCGGCCUGAGAGGGUGAACGGCGACAUUAGGACUGAGAGACGGACCAGACGGGUAUGGGAGGCAGCAGUGGGGAAUAUGGCACAAUGGGCGGGAGCGUGAGGCAGAAACGCCGGGGGCGGGAUGAGGGUCUGCGGGGUGUAAAAAGCUUUCGCCUGUGACGAAGCGUGAGUGACGGUAAUGGAUAAAGAAGCACCGGCUAACUACGUG
rnacentral:rRNA from 1 species